rnacentral:rRNA from 2 species
GGUUAAGUUAGAAAGGGCGCACGGUGGAUGCCUUGGCACUAGGAGCCGAUGAAGGACGGGACGAACACCGAUAUGCUUCGGGGAGCUGUAAGCAAGCUUUGAUCCGGAGAUUUCCGAAUGGGGAAACCCACCACUCGUAAUGGAGUGGUAUCCAUAUCUGAAUACAUAGGAUAUGAGAAGGCAGACCCGGGGAACUGAAACAUCUAAGUACCCGGAGGAAGAGAAAGCAAAUGCGAUUCCCUGAGUAGCGGCGAGCGAAACGGGACCAGCCCAAACCAAGAGGCUUGCCUCUUGGGGUUGUAGGACACUCUGUACGGAGUUACAAAGGAACGAGGUAGAUGAAGAGGUCUGGAAAGGCCCGCCAUAGGAGGUAACAGCCCUGUAGUCAAAACUUCGUUCUCUCCUGAGUGGAUCCUGAGUACGGCGGAACACGUGAAAUUCCGUCGGAAUCCGGGAGGACCAUCUCCCAAGGCUAAAUACUCCCUAGUGACCGAUAGUGAACCAGUACCGUGAGGGAAAGGUGAAAAGCACCCCGGAAGGGGAGUGAAAGAGAUCCUGAAACCGUGUGCCUACAAGUAGUCAGAGCCCGUUAACGGGUGAUGGCGUGCCUUUUGUAGAAUGAACCGGCGAGUUACGAUCCCGUGCAAGGUUAAGCAGAAGAUGCGGAGCCGCAGCGAAAGCGAGUCUGAAUAGGGCGAAUUGAGUACGUGGUCGUAGACCCGAAACCAGGUGAUCUACCCAUGUCCAGGGUGAAGUUCAGGUAACACUGAAUGGAGGCCCGAACCCACGCACGUUGAAAAGUGCGGGGAUGAGGUGUGGGUAGGGGUGAAAUGCCAAUCGAACCUGGAGAUAGCUGGUUCUCUCCGAAAUAGCUUUAGGGCUAGCCUCAAGGUAAGAGUCUCGGAGGUAGAGCACUGAUUGGACUAGGGGCCCCUACCGGGUUACCGAAUUCAGUCAAACUCCGAAUGCCGAUGACUUAUCCUUGGGAGUCAGACUGCGAGUGAUAAGAUCCGUAGUCGAAAGGGAAACAGCCCAGACCGCCAGCUAAGGUCCCAAAGUAUACGUUAAGUGGAAAAGGAUGUGGAGUUGCUUAGACAACCAGGAUGUUGGCUUAGAAGCAGCCACCAUUUAAAGAGUGCGUAAUAGCUCACUGGUCGAGUGACUCUGCGCCGAAAAUGUACCGGGGCUAAACGUAUCACCGAAGCUGCGGACUGUUCUUCGAACAGUGGUAGGAGAGCGUUCUAAGGGCUGUGAAGCAAGACCGGAAGGACUUGUGGAGCGCUUAGAAGUGAGAAUGCCGGUAUGAGUAGCGAAAGAGGGGUGAGAAUCCCCUCCACCGAAUGCCUAAGGUUUCCUGAGGAAGGCUCGUCCGCUCAGGGUUAGUCGGGACCUAAGCCGAGGCCGAAAGGCGUAGGCGAUGGAUAACAGGUUGAUAUUCCUGUACCACCUCCUCACCAUUUGAGCAAUGGGGGACGCAGGAGGAUAGGGUAAGCGCGGUAUUGGAUAUCCGCGUCCAAGCAGUUAGGCUGGGAAAUAGGCAAAUCCGUUUCCCGUGAAGGCUGAGCUGUGAUGGCGAGCGAAUUAUAGUAGCGAAGUUCCUGAUUCCACACUGCCAAGAAAAGCCUCUAGCGAGGUGAGAGGUGCCCGUACCGCAAACCGACACAGGUAGGCGAGGAGAGAAUCCUAAGGUGAUCGAGAGAACUCUCGUUAAGGAACUCGGCAAAAUGACCCCGUAACUUCGGGAGAAGGGGUGCUCUGUUAGGGUGCAAGCCCGAGAGAGCCGCAGUGAAUAGGCCCAGGCGACUGUUUAGCAAAAACACAGGUCUCUGCGAAGCCGUAAGGCGAAGUAUAGGGGCUGACGCCUGCCCGGUGCUGGAAGGUUAAGAGGAGCGCUUAGCGUAAGCGAAGGUGCGAAUUGAAGCCCCAGUAAACGGCGGCCGUAACUAUAACGGUCCUAAGGUAGCGAAAUUCCUUGUCGGGUAAGUUCCGACCCGCACGAAAGGCGCAACGAUCUGGGCACUGUCUCAACGAGAGACUCGGUGAAAUUAUAGUACCUGUGAAGAUGCAGGUUACCCGCGACAGGACGGAAAGACCCCGUGGAGCUUUACUGCAGCCUGAUAUUGAAUGUUGGUACAGCUUGUACAGGAUAGGUAGGAGCCUUGGAAACCGGAGCGCCAGCUUCGGUGGAGGCAUCGGUGGGAUACUACCCUGGCUGUAUUGACCUUCUAACCCGCCGCCCUUAUCGGGCGGGGAGACAGUGUCAGGUGGGCAGUUUGACUGGGGCGGUCGCCUCCUAAAAGGUAACGGAGGCGCCCAAAGGUUCCCUCAGAAUGGUUGGAAAUCAUUCGCAGAGUGUAAAGGCACAAGGGAGCUUGACUGCGAGACCUACAAGUCGAGCAGGGACGAAAGUCGGGCUUAGUGAUCCGGUGGUUCCGCAUGGAAGGGCCAUCGCUCAACGGAUAAAAGCUACCCCGGGGAUAACAGGCUUAUCUCCCCCAAGAGUCCACAUCGACGGGGAGGUUUGGCACCUCGAUGUCGGCUCAUCGCAUCCUGGGGCUGUAGUCGGUCCCAAGGGUUGGGCUGUUCGCCCAUUAAAGCGGUACGCGAGCUGGGUUCAGAACGUCGUGAGACAGUUCGGUCCCUAUCCGUCGCGGGCGCAGGAAAUUUGAGAGGAGCUGUCCUUAGUACGAGAGGACCGGGAUGGACGCACCGCUGGUGUACCAGUUGUUCUGCCAAGGGCAUCGCUGGGUAGCUAUGUGCGGACGGGAUAAGUGCUGAAAGCAUCUAAGCAUGAAGCCCCCCUCAAGAUGAGAUUUCCCAUUCCGCAAGGAAGUAAGAUCCCUGAAAGAUGAUCAGGUUGAUAGGUCUGAGGUGGAAGUGUGGCGACACAUGGAGCUGACAGAUACUAAUCGAUCGAGGACUUAACCAA